rnacentral:piRNA from 1 species
UCCGUCCUGUGCAUGAGUUUCUGCUG